rnacentral:piRNA from 1 species
CCGAACUGCUCUCCCUGUGAAGGCCUG